rnacentral:rRNA from 1 species
ACACAUGCAAGUCGAACGGCAGCACGGAGCUUGCUCUGGUGGCGAGUGGCGAACGGGUGAGUAAUAUAUCGGAACGUACCCUGGAGUGGGGGAUAACGUAGCGAAAGUUACGCUAAUACCGCAUACGAUCUAAGGAUGAAAGUGGGGGAUCGCAAGACCUCAUGCUCGUGGAGCGGCCGAUAUCUGAUUAGCUAGUUGGUAGGGUAAAAGCCUACCAAGGCAUCGAUCAGUAGCUGGUCUGAGAGGACGACCAGCCACACUGGAACUGAGACACGGUCCAGACUCCUACGGGAGGCAGCAGUGGGGAAUUUUGGACAAUGGGCGAAAGCCUGAUCCAGCAAUGCCGCGUGAGUGAAGAAGGCCUUCGGGUUGUAAAGCUCUUUUGUCAGGGAAGAAACGGUGAGAGCUAAUAUCUCUUGCUAAUGACGGUACCUGAAGAAUAAGCACCGGCUAACUACGUGCCAGCAGCCGCGGUAAUACGUAGGGUGCAAGCGUUAAUCGGAAUUACUGGGCGUAAAGCGUGCGCAGGCGGUUUUGUAAGUCUGAUGUGAAAUCCCCGGGCUCAACCUGGGAAUUGCAUUGGAGACUGCAAGGCUAGAAUCUGGCAGAGGGGGGUAGAAUUCCACGUGUAGCAGUGAAAUGCGUAGAUAUGUGGAGGAACACCGAUGGCGAAGGCAGCCCCCUGGGUCAAGAUUGACGCUCAUGCACGAAAGCGUGGGGAGCAAACAGGAUUAGAUACCCUGGUAGUCCACGCCCUAAACGAUGUCUACUAGUUGUCGGGUCUUAAUUGACUUGGUAACGCAGCUAACGCGUGAAGUAGACCGCCUGGGGAGUACGGUCGCAAGAUUAAAACUCAAAGGAAUUGACGGGGACCCGCACAAGCGGUGGAUGAUGUGGAUUAAUUCGAUGCAACGCGAAAAACCUUACCUACCCUUGACAUGGCUGGAAUCCCCGAGAGAUUGGGGAGUGCUCGAAAGAGAACCAGUACACAGGUGCUGC